UAGUUUUGGUCUCGCUAGGAUUUUCUGGAAAAUUCUCGUGUGCCUACACUCCUCCAGCGAUAGGAGGCGGCGAUGGAGAGGAUCCCGGCGGCCUCCUUCAUGGACUGGAGCAUCGACCUCGGCAGGAGCCUUCGCUCCCACCACCUAGCUAAAUCCUCUAGACCACCAACUCCCUUGUAUUCUCCCCUAAUGCCGGCCUCACCUCUAUCCACCCCUCCAAGAACGCACCACCAAGCCCUCUCGAUGCCGACGCCCCAAGAAUUCGCGAGCUGGCAUCUUGCCCUACCGUCCCGGCAUGGGUGGCCUCCGCAUCCAGCAUCAUGCCCGCCGAGUCCCGUGUCUUUGCCAAGACCAUGCUCUUCUGCCUCGCCGCGGAGUUCAGGGCCGCCGUCGACGACUCCAUCUGGACCUGCAUCAUCCGCUCCCUCCUCCCGAACGAGGUCGGCGGUGGAUCCCGAGAAGAUCCUCCAUAGGGUCACGGCGGCGCACGGCGCAGGGGCGGCCCUGAGGACUAGGGCGCUCGCGCUUAGGAUGUUCGGUUGCCUCGCUGACCAAGGCUGAAGGUUCAUAGAGAUGGAAGCACCCCUCAAUCCUCCAUCGCCAGUUGCGACUUAACCGGCACCGCCACACUCUCCUUCAGGGCCACCACAUGUGGCUUGCUGGAACUAGAUUGGGCAGGAAAGAAAUCCCCCCUUGCGCUCUUUGUUGUAGCUCUGUGUUAACUACUAAACAAGGCUACGGUAGGAUCAUUCUUCCUCAGCCUCCAUCUCGGGCAUGCCUCCCUCUUCAUGAGCAGACUCCACCUCAAUCACGCCUCCCUCUUUUUGAUCUUGAGUUCGCAUCCAUGCUCCGAGGGGUUUGAUCUUUGUUGUGUUGCCACAAAUCUUGCAGGUUGUGUUGCCACAAAUCUUGCAAGUUUGAGUGCCAUUUGUGUUCCUCUUAGAAGGAUUGAGGAUAUGCUAGCAGAGCAUUGGAUCUGGGCAUUACUAUUAUGUUUGAGAAAUCAAUUUCUCAGUGAUUACGCGCGGCAGCGAUGGUGAAAGUAUGUUCUGUAGCUCCUUCAUUGUCUGCAAAUACUAGACUUUUCAAUCUGAGCAGGUAGUUGAUUCACUCCUAAAUGCUACGAAGCCUUAUGGAAAACCUCAGAAUACUAUGAUACUAGAGCUUCCAUUGAUUUUACUAUUUUGCGUAUUUGGUAAAGUCAGUGUUAUGUGUUCACCAGGAUACAUCUCACACAGAUGACAUCAGAAGGUCCAAGUCAUUAUUUUGCUAUGUGAUCAGAGUUUUGAAUGAGCUGGCUGGCUCCAGAUUUGUAGUUCGCCGACUUGGUCACCCGGCGAGCCACCAACCGUUGUCCUCACGACGAGGUCCCAUUUGCACCUGGGAGUGGAUGUAGGGAGCUGGCCCAGAAGGCAAAAAGGAGGUGGAUUUGGGCUGCACUUGAAAUCUACAACCUUCAGCGUACCAGAACUGUGGCCACAUCAGAAGACCCAUAUCACCCCAGCUUGGAAGCCACCUCCUGAAGGUUUUAUAAAGGUUAACAUCGAUGCUUCCUUCAUUCCUAAAUCUGGGGUUGGUAGCGCUGGAGUGGUCGGGCGGGAUCACCUCGGUAGCGCCAUCUUCUCUGCAGCCUGUCCGACUAGACUGCAGAGCAUUGUGGUGGGAUCUGGACGCUGAUCAAUUCCAGGUCGCAUAACCUCUGCGCCUCAUUUCUAAUUGUCACUGUUGAUUUCCUAUAUAGACUUCUAAUAAUUAUUUUUUUAUGAAAUGGGGAGCUUGGCCCCAGCCUAGAUAAUGCUUCAUGUCGUGUGAACUUUCAUUAAGAAAAAGUUCAGAAGAUACUGAAGUUUUUUCAUCGAAUACAGUCUUUUAAUUA